GAUGAACGCUGGCGGCGUGCCUAAUACAUGCAAGUCGAGCGAACAGAUGAGGCUCUUGCUCCUCUGACGUUAGCGGCGGGCGGGUGAGUAACACGAGGAUACCCUACCUAUCAGACUGAGAUAAUUUCGGGAAAGCGGAUAUAACAUCGGAUAAUAUAUUGAACCGCAGGGUUCAUUAGUAAAAUACGGUUUUGCUGUCACUUCUAGAUGGAUCCCAGCCGGAUUGGCGAGUUGGUAGGUAAACGGCUUACCAAGGCAACGAUGCGUAGCAGACCUGAGAGGGUGAUCGGGCACACUGGAACGGGUACACGGUCAAGAUGCCUACGGGAGGCAGCAGUCGGGAAUGGUACGCAGUGGGCGAAAGCCUGGCGGAGUGAGGCGGCGUGUGUGAUGAAGGUCUUCGGAUCGUAAAGAUCUGUUAUUAGGGAUGAACAACUGUGUAAUGAAAUAUGGACGGCGUGACGGUACCUAGUAAGAAAGCAACGGCUAACUACGUG
rnacentral:rRNA from 1 species